ACUUCCGUUAAUUGAUUAUGACGUACUUGUACUGAUUGAGAUUUUAACACGAAGUGAGUGGCGAACGGGUGAGUAACACGUGGGUAACCUGCCCAGAAGUAGGGGAUAACACCUGGAAACAGAUGCUAAUACCGUAUAACAGAGAAAACCGCAUGGUUUUCUUUUAAAAGAUGGCUCUGCUAUCACUUCUGGAUGGACCCGCGGCGUAUUAGCUAGUUGGUGAGGUAAAGGCUCACCAAGGCAGUGAUACGUAGCCGACCUGAGAGGGUAAUCGGCCACAUUGGGACUGAGACACGGCCCAGACUCCUACGGGAGGCAGCAGUAGGGAAUCUUCCACAAUGGACGCAAGUCUGAUGGAGCAACGCCGCGUGAGUGAAGAAGGGUUUCGGCUCGUAAAGCUCUGUUGUUAAAGAAGAACGUGGGUAAGAGUAACUGUUUACCCAGUGACGGUAUUUAACCAGAAAGCCACGGCUAACUACGUGCCAGCAGCCGCGGUAAUACGUAGGUGGCAAGCGUUAUCCGGAUUUAUUGGGCGUAAAGCGAGCGCAGGCGGUCUUUUAAGUCUAAUGUGAAAGCCUUCGGCUCAACCGAAGAAGUGCAUUGGAAACUGGGAGACUUGAGUGCAGAAGAGGACAGUGGAACUCCAUGUGUAGCGGUGAAAUGCGUAGAUAUAUGGAAGAACACCAGUGGCGAAGGCGGCUGUCUGGUCUGCAACUGACGCUGAGGCUCGAAAGCAUGGGUAGCGAACAGGAUUAGAUACCCUGGUAGUCCAUGCCGUAAACGAUGAUUACUAAGUGUUGGAGGGUUUCCGCCCUUCAGUGCUGCAGCUAACGCAUUAAGUAAUCCGCCUGGGGAGUACGACCGCAAGGUUGAAACUCAAAAGAAUUGACGGGGGCCCGCACAAGCGGUGGAGCAUGUGGUUUAAUUCGAAGCUACGCGAAGAACCUUACCAGGUCUUGACAUCUUCUGACAGUCUAAGAGAUUAGAGGUUCCCUUCGGGGACAGAAUGACAGGUGGUGCAUGGUUGUCGUCAGCUCGUGUCGUGAGAUGUUGGGUUAAGUCCCGCAACGAGCGCAACCCUUAUUACUAGUUGCCAGCAUUAAGUUGGGCACUCUAGUGAGACUGCCGGUGACAAACCGGAGGAAGGUGGGGACGACGUCAAAUCAUCAUGCCCCUUAUGACCUGGGCUACACACGUGCUACAAUGGAUGGUACAACGAGUCGCGAGACCGCGAGGUUAAGCUAAUCUCUUAAAACCAUUCUCAGUUCGGACUGUAGGCUGCAACUCGCCUACACGAAGUCGGAAUCGCUAGUAAUCGCGGAUCAGCAUGCCGCGGUGAAUACGUUCCCGGGCCUUGUACACACCGCCCGUCACACCAUGAGAGUUUGUAACACCCAAAGCCGGUGGGGUAACCUUUUA
rnacentral:rRNA from 1 species